rnacentral:rRNA from 1 species
GAUGAACGCUAACGGCGUGGAUAAGGCAUGCAAGUCGAACGGUCCGCUUCGGCGGACAGUGGCAGACGGGUUAGUAACACGUAGAUAUCAACCGCCAACACAGGUAUAACCCAUCGAAAGAUGGGCUAAUCCCUGAUAGUCCUCGCUUUGCGGGGUAAAGGAUUUCCGCAAGGAUUUCGGUUGGUGAUGGGUCUGCGGCCUAUCAGCUAGUUGGUGAGGUAAUGGCUCACCAAGGCUAUGACGGGUAGGGGGCAUGAGAGUGUGUUCCCCAACAAUGGAACUGCGACACGGUCCAUACUCCUACGGGAGGCAGCAGUCGAGAAUAUUCGACAAUGGGCGCAAGCCUGAUCGAGCGACGCCGUGUGCAGGAAGACGCUCUUCGGAGUGUAAACUGCUUUUCUGGAGGAAGAACCUCGCUUUUAGCGGGGUGACGGUACUCCAGGAAUAAGGGGAUGCUAAUCACGUGCCAGCAGCCGCGGUAAUACGUGAUCCCCAAGCGUUGUCCGGAUUUAUUGGGCGUAAAGAGUCCGUAGGCGGUUUGGUAAGUCUUUGGUUAAAUACCCGUGGCUCAACUAUGGGAAUGCCAAAAGAAACUACUCAAACUAGAGGGCGUUAGAGGCUGGUGGAACGGUCGGUGUAGGGGUGAAAUCCGUUGAUAUCGACCGGAAUACCAAAAGCGAAGGCAGCCAGCUGGGGCGACCCUGACGCUGAGGGACGAAAGCUAGGGGAGAGAAAAGGAUUAGAUACCCUUGUAUUCCUAGCUGUAAGCGAUGGACACUGGCUAUUUGAAGUGUCGACCCUUCAAGUGGCGAAGCUAACGCGUUAAGUGUCCCGCCUGGGAAGUACGGCGGCAACGCUAAAACUCAAAGGAAUAGACGGGGUUUCACACAAGCGGUGGACCAUGUGGCUCAAUUCGACAAUAAGCGAGGAACCUUACCAGGGCUUGACAGGCUAGUGAAAGGUUGCCGAAAGGCAGCUCUACCCACAAGGACACUAGCCCAGGUGCUGCACGGUUGUCGUCAGCAUGUGCCUUGAGGUGCACCCUUAAAUGGGGUAACAUGCGCAACCCUUAUCCUAUGUUUUACAUGUCAUAGGAAACUGCCCGAGAUAAUUGGGAGGAAGGUGAGGACAACGCCAAAUCAGCGUGGCCCUUUGACGCCCUGGGCUGCACACGUGGUACAAUGGGACCGACAAUGGGCGAAGCCGCAAGGCAGAGGUAAUCCCACCAAACGGUCUCUUAGUUCGGAUUGGGGUCUGCAACCCGACCCCAUGAAGCCGGAAUCGCUAGUAAUCGCCAAUCAGCCACGUGGCGAUGAAUAUGUUCCUGAAACUUGUACUCACCGCCCGUCACAUUAAGGAAGCCGGCAGUA